GGAAGGAUCAUUAUUCUGCAUAAAAAAAAACACUUUUAGGUAGCUGACUUCUUUUCUUGGCUUUCCAUAAUUUGAAUGUUGUGGGGAGUCGAGAGAGGAGGGAAGUUACCUAAUCUAUAUAAUAACACACGAUAACAAAAAAAAUAAUAUAUUUAAAUAAAGUGCGAGUGGCUUCACAACCCACUCAUUUUUUUCUGCGGGAGGCCUACCGCGUGACCAAGUGGGCUAGGGAGUAGGAAGGGCAUCAGUGGCACAGUUGCGAGUCAGGAGAGAGGUACCCUUUCUUGUCUUGCGGCUGGGUUUUCUGGUCUCCCUCUUAUUUCUACUUUCACGUUUAUCGGAUCGGAUUCGUAUCAUAAAACCCCAUUUGACGGGCUUAACAACCUGGCGAAUGUAAAACUUUUUACAACUUAUAGCGGUGGAUUUCUCGGCUUGCGUAUCGAUGAAGAACGUAGCAAACUACGAUAAUUAUUGUGAAUUGCAAAAUACGUGAAUCAUCGAAUUUUUGAAUGCAUACUGCACCGGGGGUCUAACAACCCCUGGUCUAUCCGGUCGAGUGCCGAUUCUUCAUCACUUCCUUUUCCAAUGAUAAAAAGUUGGUUUUGGUUGUGGAUAUAUGAGGGUAGAGCUCGCUUUUUACGGCAGGCAUCUUCCCUUUAAAUACACAAAACGGGUUCCAUCAACAGAGAGCGCUUACUCGCCUUUGGGAGGGGUGCUUUCUUAGUAGUGGGCAUCAAGUCCCCGGCAUGACUAGCCUCGUGUAUCGGCUAAGUCUGUUAGAAAAAUGCUGGGUGCGCAAUGCAGGGAAAACCAGGGAGGUUUUUUCUUCUGUUGUGACUAUCCUCUCACUUGUGGGGGGAUGGUUACGGCAGCAUGAGGUUGGGACGCUGUUCAAAGGCUUUGUGGGCACUUGAGCUUACCAAUAGCUUUUGGGAGUUUACCCGAAUCUCACUUGAUGAUGGGAGAGCUUUGGGGGGAGUGGCUUGCCAUUCCUCACAGGUUGUCACGUUUGAUGGUGGGUUGAGGGAAUCAUAAACUUCUAGAAGUAAGGACGGGGAGGUUCGGGGGUUUGUAGAGCUUGGGGAUGGAUGUUCUGUCUUUGUGGCUUUUCCCCCCUUGUAAAUGAGGGGAGAGAAGGAGUUAGUACUUCUUUAUUGGGGGUCUUGCGUUGUUUAUAAAUAACGGGGGAAGGCAUUGCCUUCUUUCUUAACGGCCUCGGCUCGGGUAGGACUACCCGCUGAACUUAAGCAUAUUAGUAAGCGGAGGAAAAGAAAUUAACAAAGAUUCCCUCAGUAACUGCGAGUGAACUGGGAGGGAGCCCAGCCCUGAAUCGGGGGGGAUUCGUCCUCUACCGAAAUGUGGGGUUUGCCGUGAUUGGUCAGGCGUAAGGGUGAACUUGAAGUCAUCUUGGAACAGUGGGCCUUAGAGGGUGAUAGCCCCGUAAGGUUUGCCCAAGCGUCAGACCAGUUGCGGUUAGAGUCGAGUUGUUUGGGAGUACAACUCUAAAGGGUGAUAAAUUUCAUCCAAGGCUAAAUAUUAACGCAAGACCGAUAGCGCACAAGUACCGCGAGGGAAAGAUGCAAAGAACUCUGAAAAGAGAGUUCAAAGUACAUGAAACCGCUAUAAGGGAAAGCGGUGGUUAGGGCAUAUUCACGCUGUUAGGGGUCUGUCUCUGGGAGUUUUGAGGCGUUUGUUGGGGCGUCGGCAACGGCGUUUCCAGCAGGCGUUUUUGGAAUUUCUAGGGGCGUAUUUCCUAGCAGUGUGUUCACCGAGUAUUUAAUCGUGAUGGCUUUGAAGAACCUGAAAAUCAGUCUUCGGACUGGUGGAGGGUUUUAGAGGCCUAGUUAAGUACAGGGUUACGCAAGUAACACGGGCAGCGCUCAGCGCUCAUGAAUGCUGUCCACGUCGGUGAUUUUAACGUGCCAUACCCACUGACCCGUCUUGAAACACGGACCAAGGAGUCUAUCAGGCUUGCGAGUUCGAGGGUGUAAAAACUCUAGGGCAAAAUGAAAGUAAGAGGUGUGAUAUUCGUAAGAAUUGCAACACCGACCGGUCCAGGCCAUUCGUGGUCAGGAUCGAGUUGUAGCAGGCCUAAUAGAACCCGAAAGGUGGCGAACUAUGCCUGUACAGGAAGAAGCCAGGAGAAAUCCUGGUGGAAGUCCGUAGCGGUAUUGACGUGCAAAUCAUUCGUCAGAUGCAGGUAUAGCGGCGAAAGACCAAUCGAGCCGCCUAGUAGCUGGUUCCCUC
rnacentral:misc_RNA from 1 species